GGGGACACCUGGGGCCAUGGCGGAGCGCCUGGAGUGGGCAAGUGUGUACAGGAAGUUUGAAGACAAGAUCAGGAACUUUUAGGGAAGCGGAGUAGAAAAAGUGAUGCGGUCGAGUCAGGAGGCAUCCGGGAGGGAAACAGAGCUCUUCGUGUGGACUGUCCGACAUUCACCUGAGGCAGUGUAACCAGUGCUCCACCUAUAUGGUAUCACCAGUUCCUCUGUGACCUGUCCAAGCAUCAGAGUCUUUUCCAAUGAGUCAACUUUUCGCAUGAGGUGGCCAAAGUAUU